CAGUCUACCUGAGUCUACGUGGGAGGCCAUUUUGGAGCACUGCAUGGAGUCUGUUCUCCAACCGUGUGUCCCAUCUGCCAUCCAUCUAGGCUACUGGGAAGGAGAAAAGGACUUUUCUUUACCCUCUAGCUCCUGGGCAGCAUUCAAGAGUUAUGGACUUCUGUUCCC
rnacentral:lncRNA from 1 species